rnacentral:tRNA from 1 species
GGGGCUGUGGCUCAGUGGUAGAGCACUUGCCUACACAUGUGAGACACUGAGUUCUAUCCUCAGCACCACA